GACGAACGCUGGCGGCGCGCUUAACACAUGCAGGUCGAACGGAAAGGCCUGCUUUCCCUUGUGGAUUGCGGGUACUCGAGUGGCGAACGGGUGAGUAACACGUGAGUGAUCUGCCCCCAACUUGGGUAUAAGCCUGGGAAACUGGGUCUAAUUCCCGAUAGGACUGCAGGGUGGUGCCUGUGGUGGAAAACGAUUUUCUAGUGGUUGGGGGUGAGCUCGCGGCCUAUCAGCUUGUUGGUGGGGUAAUGGCCUACCAAGGCGGCGACGGGUAGCCGGCCUGAGAGGGUGGACGGCCACAUUGGGACUGAGAUACGGCCCAGACUCCUACGGGAGGCAGCAGUGGGGAAUAUUGCACAAUGGGCGGAAGCCUGAUGCAGCGACGCCGCGUGGGGGAUGACGGCCUUCGGGUUGUAAACUCCUUUCGACCGCGAGGAAGCCACCUGGUUGGAAGGGUGGUGACGGUAGUGGUAGAAGAAGCACCGGCUAACUACGUG
rnacentral:rRNA from 1 species